rnacentral:rRNA from 1 species
UAACCUGCCCCUGACUCUGGGAUAAGCGUUGGAAACGACGUCUAAUACUGGAUAUGACUGCCGGCCGCAUGGUCUGGUGGUGGAAAGAUUUUUUGGUUGGGGAUGGACUCGCGGCCUAUCAGCUUGUUGGUGAGGUAAUGGCUCACCAAGGCGACGACGGGUAGCCGGCCUGAGAGGGUGACCGGCCACACUGGGACUGAGACACGGCCCANACUCCUACGGGAGGCAGCAGUGGGGAAUAUUGCACAAUGGGCGAAAGCCUGAUGCAGCAACGCCGCGUGAGGGAUGACGGCCUUCGGGUUGUAAACCUCUUUUAGUAGGGAAGAAGCGAAAGUGACGGUACCUGCAGAAAAAGCACCGGCUAACUACGUGCCAGCAGCCGCGGUAAUAC